AUCGUCAGGAAGCAUAAUCCUUACCCAUUCUUCCCUUUGGAGGGCAGAAUAGAACAUGAUGACUUGAGCUGGCAUGACUCAUAAUUAGGAGCUCUGCAUAAUCAGGACUUGCAACAUUGAUUGCUCCUCUUUGAUU
rnacentral:snoRNA from 1 species